UACGAGGGGGGCGAGCGUUGUUCGGAAUUAUUGGGCGUAAAGGGUGCGUAGGCGGUUUGGUAAGUCUCUUGUGAAAUCUAUGGGCUCAACUCAUAGUCUGCAAGGGAAACUGCCGGGCUUGAGUGUGGGAGAGGUGAGUGGAAUUUCCGGUGUAGCGGUGAAAUGCGUAGAUAUCGGAAGGAACACCUGUGGCGAAAGCGGCUCACUGGACCACAACUGACGCUAAUGCACGAAAGCUAGGGGAGCAAACAGG
rnacentral:rRNA from 1 species